AUGAACCACUUCGGUGGGGAUUAGUGGCGAACGGGUGAGUAACACGUGGGCAAUCUGCCCUGCACUCUGGGACAAGCCCUGGAAACGGGGUCUAAUACCGGAUACGAGUUCCACGGGCAUCCGUGGGACUGGAAAGCUCCGGCGGUGCAGGAUGAGCCCGCGGCCUAUCAGCUUGUUGGUGAGGUAAUGGCUCACCAAGGCGACGACGGGUAGCCGGCCUGAGAGGGCGACCGGCCACACUGGGACUGAGACACGGCCCAGACUCCUACGGGAGGCAGCAGUGGGGAAUAUUGCACAAUGGGCGCAAGCCUGAUGCAGCGACGCCGCGUGAGGGAUGACGGCCUUCGGGUUGUAAACCUCUUUCAGCAGGGAAGAAGCGAAAGUGACGGUACCUGCAGAAGAAGCGCCGGCUAACUACGUGCCAGCAGCCGCGGUAAUACGUAGGGCGCAAGCGUUGUCCGGAAUUAUUGGGCGUAAAGAGCUCGUAGGCGGCUUGUCGCGUCGGUUGUGAAAGCCCGGGGCUUAACCCCGGGUCUGCAGUCGAUACGGGCAGGCUAGAGUUCGGUAGGGGAGAUCGGAAUUCCUGGUGUAGCGGUGAAAUGCGCAGAUAUCAGGAGGAACACCGGUGGCGAAGGCGGAUCUCUGGGCCGAUACUGACGCUGAGGAGCGAAAGCGUGGGGAGCGAACAGGAUUAGAUACCCUGGUAGUCCACGCCGUAAACGGUGGGCACUAGGUGUGGGCAACAUUCCACGUUGUCCGUGCCGCAGCUAACGCAUUAAGUGCCCC
rnacentral:rRNA from 1 species